rnacentral:misc_RNA from 1 species
AUUCCUUUGAGAGGGCCCAUUGAAGGUGGAAUGCAGGUGACAAUUGAAGGGAGCCAACCUGGAAACGAGCCAAGAGAUCUAUGAUAAGGUCAAGAUUGGUGGAAUCCCUUGCAUUUCCACUGAAUACAACUUCUCAGUGAGGGUUGUGUGCAGGACCGGAGUAAGUGGGUCGCCGCUCAUGGUAGACAUGGUCGUUGGGAUCCGUGCUGGCAUCAGAAAGGGGCACAAGAAGUUCCAGUUCCAACAAGUCAUGGUUCGUGACAUUCAACCUUGCACUGGUCCCCAGUCGCGAGGCACUCGUCUCUACAUCAGCGGAUCGAACCUCGACAUUGACAACAACCUCACUCCGUACCUCGACAUCCUCCCCUGCACUGUGGACAAGUUCUCAUGGAACUUGAAGGUGACUUACACUGUCCGAAGAUACAUCUGUCGCACAAGCUGCUAAACAUGGCGGGCACUUUCAAAGGUUAACAGACUUCAGUGUGUUGAUAGCGAACGAUGCCUGUUCUCUGCAACGAACACAUCUGGAAUACCACAAAGCAGCUUGACAGCAAGCCAGCUACGACUACAGAACGUUGCAUGUGUCGGGAUGCAUCAGCAGUGCACACGUGUAACUGUGAAUAUGUGGAUCCGUGUUGUCGUUUCUGUGUGUCUGUGCCCAAAGCUUUGUUCACAUUUAUUUAUAAACUGCAAAAAAAAAAAGAUACA